rnacentral:lncRNA from 1 species
GGAACAACAAGCCUUUUCUCAGAAUCCGUUGGCAGAGAAGCUGAGGUAGCGCCAGGAAGAAGUGCGCCAAACCCAAUUACUCCUCCAAGAGUCGAGCAUCCUGGACAGAACGCUACAAUGUCCCAUCUCCUUCUUGGUGCUGUGAUUUGUCACACACUAAACAGAAGAGGAGACAGUAAGCGUUUACCACUCCCCUGGGCAAAGUUCUGUAGAUAACCAGCAGAUGCAAUUUGCUUUCAUAGCUUUCUUAAGUGUGGCCUUGAAAAGCCUCUGGCAGUAUUACAGCCAGGGACCCCCAGCACUGGGCACUCAGAAGGAUCUUAGGGAGUGCAGGACACAAUUGGUGUGUUAGGGUUACACACUCAACCCUAGUUCCAGAAAAAGCAAAGAAAAGAAUGACAACUGAUCACCAUGCUUCUGAUUCAACCCUUUCUUUUGAAAGAAUGGCAAGUAUGGGAUGGAAAGACUAAGCUUCAGAUUAUUUUCUUCUUAUCUUCUCCGUUCACCAUCCAAAUACAGAGAUGACUGUAAUGGAUGAUUAGGGUUUGUGAAAACAGUGGCUAAUGAAACCCCUUGAAAUAAAGAACAGAAAGCCACUUAGUUUUCAUCCCAAUGUUACUUUACGUAUUCAACACGCAUUUUUGUGCCAAGUAGAUGCUUGAGAUUAUUCUAGGUACGGGAAAGGUGAUCUAAGUCACCAAGUAACUGGGAGACAGCCCUAACUGGACAUCUUUUGUCACCAAAUGAAGCUUUUAGUACUGGGAAUGGAUUCCAAGCAAUUGAGUUCCUGGCAAAAGGAUCCCCAAGAUGCAAGCAUUCUAAUCAAUGCUCUAACCCCCAAACAACCCAGGCUAUUGAUAAGGCUAAUAGCUGCUCUUCACAAAUUGAUGGUAAGGCCUGAUUGCGGAAGACAACACCCACACAAGCCACUGAACACAGAGAAAUCAAGCUGAUGCCUACCUUGAGCAUUCAUCCCUACCAAAUGGUCUUCAUGGAGCUGGAAGGUACACUGCAUAUUACCAAAGGAGAACUAUAAACACCAACCUAGCUACAAACUCUUUGAUCUACAGUAGUGUCCUGUCUGCAAGAUAUGCAUAUGCAAUAGUGGCACAAAGCUUAUGGGAGUAACCAACCAAUACCUGUUUGGAAUUAAGGCCCUCUCCAUGAGAUGGAUACCAUACUUGACGGUAACACUAUUCCCUCUGUCUCUUAAACUCUUUGUCUAUAUAGGUUCCAUCUCAUGGAGUGGCCUUAAGUCAAAUGCUUGGUUAGCCAAAAACC